rnacentral:lncRNA from 1 species
GCUCAAUAGCAAUAACCAAAGCAUUCACAAUCUCUGACCCAAUGCAUUGGCAACAUCAUCAACUCUACCAGACCACCAGAAGUAGCCGUCUUCAUCCAUGAUCCCUCUGUCACCUGUGAGCUAGAAACAAGAGUAAUGAUGGCACUUCACUCAGAGGUUUGUCCUGAGGCUUAAAUGAGGCAACAUGGACACAGCAUUUUAGCACAAGGCCAGGUGGUGAAGCCCCCUAAUGUCCUGACUCCACAGUUC